UGGGGAAUAUUGCACAAUGGGCGCAAGCCUGAUGCAGCCAUGCCGCGUGUGUGAAGAAGGCCUUCGGGUUGUAAAGCACUUUCAGCGAGGAGGAAGGUGGUGAGCUUAAUACGCUCAUCAAUUGACGUUACUCGCAGAAGAAGCACCGGCUAACUCCGUGCCAGCAGCCGCGGUAAUACGGAGGGUGCAAGCGUUAAUCGGAAUUACUGGGCGUAAAGCGCACGCAGGCGGUUUGUUAAGUCAGAUGUGAAAUCCCCGGGCUCAACCUGGGAACUGCAUUUGAAACUGGCAAGCUAGAGUCUCGUAGAGGGGGGUAGAAUUCCAGGUGUAGCGGUGAAAUGCGUAGAGAUCUGGAGGAAUACCGGUGGCGAAGGCGGCCCCCUGGACGAAGACUGACGCUCAGGUGCGAAAGCGUGGGGCAGCAAACAGGAUUAGAUACCCUGGUAGUCCACGCUGUAAAACGAUGUCGAUUUUGGAGGUUGUGCCCUUGAGGCGUGGCUUCCGGAGCUAACGCGUUAAAUCGACCGCCUGGGGAGUACGGCCGCAAGGUUAAAACUUAAAGGAAUUGC
rnacentral:rRNA from 1 species